UGUUUUAAACGCCUCAGAAAAAACCCAAACCAAACCAAAGGCAGUGCUUUGCUUUUCUGAAAUACUACAAACAGAAAAGCACUAAGUAUUUUCUUCUAACUUUAGGGAACUUCUAUAAGAGAACAGUGUUGGAGGGUUUGGUUAUACACAGUGUUCUCCAACCCCACACUGGAGAGGUUUCACACCCUCCCUGGGACAGCUUUCACUCCACAUGAGGCAAGAACUGUGCUUCUGCUAAUUUUAAUGGAGGAACAAAAGGAGGCAAGGGAUGAGCCUUGCCUCAAGACCCAGGGCACCACCACCUCCAGGGAUGACAGCAUCAGUCUACCACGUGAGCAAGGAUGGAGCCAAGGAGUCACACAAGCAAGGGCCCUGCUGUGCCAGCUCUGACCCUGGAAGCUCUCAGACACGCGCCCAGGCAGGCAAAGAGAAGCACCACAAGCUUCGAGCAAACGUUUGUAACAUUCGGCCCACAGCCACAGAUACAGAAGGAAUGUCAGCAGACACACACCUUUA